UACGGAGGGGGCGAACGUUGUUCGGAUUUACUGGGCGUAAAGCGACCGCAGGUGGCUUUACAAGUCAGAUGUGAAAUCCCCGGGCUUAACCCGGGAAUUGCAUUUGAAACUGUAAGGCUAGAGUUAUGGAGAGGGUGGUGGAAUUGCCAGUGUAGAGGUAAAAUUCGUAGAUAUUGGCAGGAACAUCAGAGGUGAAGACGACUGCCUGGCCAUUAACUGACACUCAGGGUCGAAAGCGUGGGGAGCAAACAGG
rnacentral:rRNA from 1 species